AACCUACCUUCGAGUGGGGGAUAACUAGCCGAAAGGUUAGCUAAUACCGCAUAAAACGUGCCGGGGCAUCCCGGAACGUUAAAACGAGCAAUCGGCUUGAAGACGGGACCGCGUCCCAUUAGUUAGUUGGUGGGGUAACGGCCUACCAAGACUCCGAUGGGUAGCUGGUUUGAGAGAGCGACCAGCCACACUGGGACUGAGAAACGGCCCAGACUCCUACGGGAGGCAGCAGUGAGGAAUUUUCCGCAAUGGGCGAAAGCCUGACGGAGCGACGCCGCGUGUGG
rnacentral:rRNA from 1 species